CCUCGAUAAACACUUUAAAAAUACUGUCAGCAUCAAAAAAUCCAUCCAUCCAUGUCCAACAACUAGACCAAAAUAGCCCCAUCUUAAGCUCCUUAUCUGAUCGAACUAAAACUUAUUUUGCAUCUCCUGUCACAUGGUGAGGCCAAAAACAAUAUCCACAUCUAUGUAACAAACAAAAAACUGAUCAAAUAGAACAAAAGGGAACCAAUCACCAAACCAGAACCGCUUUUCCUUCAAAAAUGGUGAAGAACCACACAAAGAUCCAUCUGAAAUGGAAGUGCAUAAACAAUAAGCAAGGGGAAAGCCCAGGAAGAAGACAAUGACAGUAGAAAAAUAUUAUACUCCCUCUACAAUGCUUCACGUCCAACAACCAGACCAAGAUAGCCCCACCUUAAGCUCCGACUUUGGUAGAAUCAAAACUUAUUUUGUAUCUCCUGUCAAAGGGUGGGACCAAAAACAAUAUACACAUGUACGUAACAAACAAAAAAUAGAUUAAACAGAGCAAAAGGGAACCAAGCACCAAACCAGAACCGCCUUCCCACGAGAACUGGUUAAUUAGAACCCAAAGAUCAAACAUUUGAAGAUUAAAGAGCAUAACAAUAAGCAAAGGGAAAAAGUUCACCUAGAAGAUAAAUCACAAUAGAAAAAUAAUAUACUCCUGUUGACACCCACCAUAAACACUAUACCAAUGGCAGCAUCCAAGAUUGGUCCAUAUCCAAAUAACCAGACCAAGAUAGCCUCACCUUAAAUACCUAACUUUGAUGGAAUCAAAACCAAUUUUGUAUCUCCUGACACAGGGUGAGGCAGAAAACAAGGUCCAAGUCUACGUAACAAAAUAAAACUAUAAUAGAGAGCAAAGAUAACCAAGGAUCAAACCAGAACAGUCUUCCACAGAAGCCUGAUUAAGAAACACACAACGAUCCGGCAUCUGGAAAUUGAAAAGAAUAACGAUAAGCAAGGGAAAGUUUAGGUAGAAUAUAAAAUUUAGUAAAAAAGUUACAAUACUAUACUCCCUAUGCAACCCUUGAUAAACACUAUAUCAAUGACAGCGUCAAAGGUUGCUCCGUGUCCAACAAUCAGACCAAGAUUGCACCACCAUAAGCUCCUACUUUGAUAGAAUCAAAACUUAAUUUAUAUUUUGUGUCAUAGGGUGAUGCAGAAAACAAUAUCCACGCCAACGUAACAAACAAAAAACUGAUGAAAGAGAAAAAAGAUAACAAAGCAUCAAACCGAACAGCCUUCCAAUUAAGAACCACAACGAUCAGAAAUCUGAAAAUUGAAGAGUAUAACGACAAGCACCGGAAACUCUAGGUAGAAGAGAAAAUAUAGUAGAAGAAAAUGUAGUAUAACAAUCUGCAUCCCUCAAUAAACAUUAUAUCAAUUGACAUCUUAUAUUAGUCCGCAUCCAACAACCCCACCAAGUUGGCCCCCACCUUAAGCUCCCACUUUGAUAGAAUAAAACUGAAUUUGUAUCUCCUGUCACAGGGUGAGGGCGAAAAAAAUAUCAAAGUCUACGUAACAAAAAAAAAAAAACUAUAAUAGAGAACACAGACAACCAAGCGUCAAACAAGAACUGCCUUUCAGAGAAGCUUGAUUAAGAACAAAACAGCAACCAAAGAUUUGUCCAUGUCCAAAAACCAGACCAAGAUAGCCCCCACCUUAAGCUCCUACUUUGAUAGAAUCAAAACCUAUUUUGUAUCUCCUGUCACAGGGUGAGGCUGAAAACAACAUCCAAGUCUACAUAACAGCAAAAGAACUAUAAUUGAGAGAGCAAAGAUAACCAAUUAUCAAACCCGAACUGCCUUCCAGUUAAACUUGAUUAAGAACCACAUAAUGAACAGGCAUCUGGAAAUGGAAGAGAGACUAACAAUAACCACAGGAAAGUCUAGAUGGAAGAUAAAUUGUAGUAGAAAAAAAUACUAUAUUAUACUCCCUCUGCCAUCCUCGAUAAACACUAUAAUUGACAGCGUCAAAGGUUGAUCUGUGGCCAAUAUAACUAAACCAAGAUUAGCCCCACCUUGAGCUCCUACUUUGAUAAAAUCAAAACAAAAUUUUUAUCAUCUGCCAUAGGAUGAGGCAGAAAUACAAUAUACACGUAUACGUAACAAACAAAAAAACUGAUGAUAGAGAGAAAAGAUAAACCCAGCAUCAAACCAGAAGUGCCUUCAAGUAAAGAACACCUGGAAAUUGAAGAGUAUAACGAUAAGUAUAGGAAACUCAAGGUAAAAGAGAAAACGUAAAAAAAAAAAAAAUAACUAUACUGUACACCAUCUGCCACCCUCGACAAACACUAUAUCAAUGAUGGCAUCAUAGAUUAGUCCAUAUCCAAAAACCAGACCAAGAUAACCCCCACCUUAAGCUUCAACUUUGAUAGAAUCAAAACCUAUUUUGUCUCCUGGCACAGGGUGAGGACCAAAACAUUGUCCAAGUCUACAUAACAAAUAAACAAUAAUUACAGAGCAAAGGUGACCAAUUAGCAAACCAGAACAGCCUUCCCGUGAAGCUUGAUUAAAAACCACACAGCGAUCAGGCAUCUGGAAAUUGAUGAGAACAACGGUAAGCAUGGGAAAGUCUAGGUAGAAGAUAAAAGAUAGUAAAAAAAAAAAAAACUAUUCUAUACUCUCUUUGCCAGGCCCACACCACUAUAUCAAUGACAGCAUCAAAGGUAGAUCCGUGUUCAAUAACCAGGCCAACAUUAGCCACACCAUAAGCUCCUUCUUUCAAAACUUAAUUUUUAUCUCCUAUCAUAGGGUGAGGCAGAGAACAAUAUCCACGUCUACAUAACAACAAAAAAUUGUUGAAACUGACAAAAGAUAACCAAGAAAACAAGAAGUGCCAUCCAUUAUGGAAAUUGAAGAGUAUAACUAUAAACACGGGAAACUCUAGGUAGAAGAGAAAAUGUAGUAGAAAAAAAAAAUACUAUUAUGUAUUUCCUUUGCGACCCUCGAUUUACAAUAUACCAAUGAUAACAUCAAAGAUCUGUCCGCGUCCAAAAACCAGACCAAGAUAGCCCCCACAUUAAGCUCCUACAGUGAUGGAAUCAAAACCUAUUUUGUAUCUCCUGUCACAGGGUAGGCCCAAAACAAUAUCCAAGUCUAUAUAACAACAAAAGAAAUAUAAUAGAGAGAUCAAAUGCAACCAAUUAUGAACCCAGAACUGCCUUCCAGUUAAGCUUGAUUAAGAACCACACAACGAUCAGGCAUCUGGAAAUUGAAGAGAAUAACAAUAAGCACGGGAAAGUCAAGAUGGAAGAUAAAUUGUAGCAGAAUUAAUACAAUACUAUACUCCCUCUGACACCCUCGAUAAACAUUAUAUCAGUGACAGCAUCAAAAGUUGAUAUGUCUCCAAUAACUAGACCAAGAUUAGCCCCACCAUAAGCUGCUUCUUUCACAACUUAAUUUUUAACCCCUGUCACAAGGUGAGGCAGAAAACAAUAUCCACGUCUACGUAACAAAUAAAAGAUUGUUGAAACUGACAAAAGAUAACCAAGCAUACCAGAAGUGCCUUCCAGUUAAGAACCACACAACAAUCAGACAUCUGGAAAUUGAAGAGUAUAACUAUUAGCACGGGAAACUCUAGGUAGAAGAGAAAAUGUAGUAGAAAAAAAAUACUAUUAUGUACUCCAUGUACUCCCUUUACCACCCACAUUAAACUAUAUCAAUGACAGCAUGAAGGAUUUGUCAGUGUACCAAAAACCAGACCAAGACACGCCCCCACCUUAAGCUCCUACUUUGAUAGAAUCAGAACCUAUUUUGUAUCUCCUAUCACAGGGUGAGGCUGAAACCAACAUCGAGUCUAAAUAACAACAAAAGAACUACAAUAGAGAGAGCAAAGGUAACCAACUAUCAAACCCGAACUGCCGUCCAGUAAGCUUGAUUAAGAACCACACAACGAUCGGGCAUCUGGAAAUGGAAGAGAAUAACGAUAAGCACCGGAAGGUCUAGAUGGAAGAUAAAUUGUAUUAGAAGAAAUACUAUACUAACUCCCUCUGCCACCCUCGAAAAACAUAUCAUGACCAUCAAAGGAUUGAUUGUGUGCAAUAACUGACUAAGAUUAGCCCUACCUUAAGCCCUACUUUGAUAAAAUUAAAACUUAAUUUUUAUCUCAUGUCAUAGGGUGGGGCAGAAAACAAUAUCACGUCUAUGUACAAACAAAAAUUGUUGAAAUGACAAAAGAUAACCAAACAUCAAACCAGAAGUGUCAUCCAGUUAAGAACCACCCCACGAUCAGACAUCUGGAAAUUGAAGAGUAUAUCUAUAAGCACGGGAAACUCUAGGUAGAAGAGAAAAUGUAUAGAAAUAAAAAUACUAUUAUGUACUCCCUUUGCCACCCUCGAUUAACACAAUAUCAAUGACUCAUCAAAGAUCUGUCCGCGUCCAAAAACCAGACCAAGAUAGCCCCCACAUUAAGCUCCUACAGUGAUGGAAUCAAAACCUAUUUUGUAUCUCCUGUCACAGGGUAGGCCCAAAACAAUAUCCAAGUCUAUAUAACAACAAAAGAAUAUAAUAGAGAGAUCAAAUGCAACCAAUUAUGAACCCAGAACUGCCUUCCAGUUAAGCUUGAUUAAGAACCAAACAACGAUCAGGCAUCUGGAAAUCGAAGAGAAUAACAAUAAGCACGGGAAAGUCAAGAUGGAAGAUAAAUUGUAGCAGAAUUAAUACAAUACUAUACUCCCUCUGACACCCUCGAUAAACAUUAUAUCAGUGACAGCAUCAAAAGUUGAUGUCUCCAGUAACUAGACCAAGAUUAGCCCCACCAUAAGCUGCUUCUUUCACAACUUAAUUUUUAACUCCUGUCACAAGGUGAGGCAGAAAACAAUAUCCACGUCUACGUAACAAAUAAAAGAUUGUUGAAACUGACAAAAGAUAACCAAGCAUACCAGAAGUGCCUUCCAGUUAAGAACCACACAACAAUCAGACAUCUGGAAAUUGAAGAGUAUAACUAUUAGCACGGGAAACUCUAGGUAGAAGAGAAAAUGUAGGUAGAAAAAAAAUACUAUUAGUACUCCCUUUACCACCCACUAUUAACACUAUAUCAAUGACAGCAUGAAGGAUUUGUCAGUGUCCAAAAACCAGACCAAGACAGCCCCCACCUUAAGCUCCUACUUGAUAGAAUCAGAACCUAUUUUGUAUCUCCUAUCACAGGGUGAGGCUGAAACCAACAUCCGAGUCUAAAUAACAACAAAAGAACUACAAUAGAGAGAGCAAAGGUAACCAACUAUCAAACCCGAACUGCCGUCCAGUUAAGCUUGAUUAAGAACCACACAACGAUCGGGCAUCUGGAAAUGAAGAGAAUAACGAUAAGCACCGGAAGGUCUAGAUGGAAGAUAAAUUGUAUAGAAGAAAUACUAUACUAUACUCCCUCUGCCACCCUCGAUAAACACACUAUAUAGUGACCACGUCAAAGGAUUGACUUGUGUGCAAUAACUUGACUAAGAUUAGCCCUACCUUAAGCUCCUACUUGAUAAAAUUAAAACUUAAUUUUUAUCUCAUGUCAUAGGGUGGGGCAGAAAACAAUAUCCACGUCUAUGUAGCAAACAAAAUUGUUGAACUGACAAAAGAUAACCAAACAUCAAACAGAAGUGUCUCCAGUUAAGAACCACCCCACGAUCAGACAUCUGGAAAUUGAAGAGUAUAUCUAUAAGCACGGGAAACUCGAGGUAGAAGAGAAAAUGUAGUAGAAUAAAAAUACUAUUAUGUACUCCCUUUGCCACCCUCGAUUAACACAAUAUCAAUGACUACAUCAAAGAUCUGUCGCGUCCAAAAACCAGACCAAGAUAGCCCCCACAUUAAGCUCCUACAGUGAUGGAAUCAAAACCUAUUUUGUAUCUCCUGUCACAGGGUAGGCUCAAAACAAUAUCCAAGUCUAUAUAACAACAAAAGAAAUAUAAUAGAGAGAUCAAAUGCAACCAAUUAUGAACCCAGAACUGCCUUCCAGUUAAGCUUGAUUAAGAACCAAACAACGAUCAGGCAUCUGGAAAUCGAAGAGAAUAACAAUAAGCACGGGAAAGUCAAGAUGGAAGAUAAAUUGUAGCAGAAUUAAUACAAUACUAUACUCCCUCUGACACCCUCGAUAAACAUUAUAUCAGUGACAGCAUCAAAAGUUGAUAGUCUCCAUAACUAGACCAAGAUUAGCCCCACCAUAAGUGCUUCUUUCACAACUUAAUUUUUAACCCCUGUCACAAGGUGAGGCAGAAAACAAUAUCCACGUCUACGUAACAAAUAAAAGAUUGUUGAAACUGACAAAAGAUAACCAAGCAUACCAGAAGUGCCUUCCAGUUAAGAACCACACAACAUCAGACAUCUGGAAAUUGAAGAGUAUAUCUAUAGCACGGGAAAUUCUAG
rnacentral:lncRNA from 1 species